rnacentral:tRNA from 1 species
GGGCUCGUAGCGCAGUGGUAGCGCGCCUGCUUUGCAAGCAGGAGGUCGCGGGUUCA